CCUCUGGCCUCCGACGCCCUCCUCUGGCCGCCCUCGCCCUCCUCCGACCGCCCUCCCCCUCCGGCCUCCGAAGCUUGCCCCGCUCCCUCGUCACCGGUCGUUUCUCUCCCUCUGUCGUGUGAGGUGGCGGCACAUCUACCAGAGAGGUCACGAGAGGGGGAAGGAUUUUCGAUUUGAAAGCUUGGAUGCUUCACUGUUAUUUCAGAUGUGUUGUGGACUAACAUCCUUCGGCACUGUAAGUUGUGUCAUCUCUUAGCUCAAAAGUUUUAACCUAAAGUAGAGGAUCACUACAUAUGCUAGACAAACUUAAUUCUGAGACUCGUGUAUUAUUUGGCAUGGAUGAAAUCACAUAUCUUAGUUGCA